AAUAAACAAACUGUUUCCUUGCCUACUCCAUAGACUUCACCUGAAAUACAAGUACAAUUGUAAUUGUAGAUUGACACAUCAUAGCCCAUUAAGAUGAAAAAGUGAGAGAGACCCUGCUGUGACCUAUUGCCAAAUACAGUGCAAUAUUGGUGAGCCUUUUUUGCCUGAACUUGAUGUCUGUCCAGAAGACAAAAACACUGAUUAGGUAGAAGGAGGAUGAAAGUCCUUCAGGAACAGAGUGACUCUGGACCUCAGCUAUAAACUGCAGCUAAUUCAUAAAUGUCAAGAGCCAAAAGGUCUCUGAUUAAAGGCCAGGAAAACUGUUGAAUUGUGAAGUAAGCAAGGAUUAAGAAAUUGACUCUGACCAGUGUAUCCAGCUGUACCUUAAUGGACAUAUACACACUCAACAUGCACAUGCACACACACAUGCAAAAACAAGCAAAACAAAGAGCAGUUGACUUUCAGUUCUAUUCAUUAAAAAGAUCCGUUUAUAAUUGUACAUGUGCAGAAGGGCUGCGAGACUGAAGUGAUACCUGAGAGAGGCCUGGGAAUAUGUUUGCACCACAUUACUUGGACUGCAUGAUAAUUGAGAGCCAUUGUGGCUGAACACUUUAUGAGUUUGUUUAAUUUGUCACAGUAAAUAAAGC